rnacentral:rRNA from 1 species
CUACGUGCCAGCAGCCGCGGUAAUACGGAGGGUGCGAGCGUUAAUCGGAAUAACUGGGCGUAAAGGGCACGCAGGCGGUGACUUAAGUGAGGUGUGAAAGCCCCAGGCUUAACCUGGGAAUUGCAUUUCAUACUGGGUCGCUAGAGUACUUUAGGGAGGGGUAGAAUUCCACGUGUAGCGGUGAAAUGCGUAGAGAUGUGGAGGAAUACCGAAGGCGAAGGCAGCCCCUUGGGAAUGUACUGACGCUCAUGUGCGAAAGCGUGGGGAGCAAACAGGAUUAGAUACCCUGGUAGUCCACGCUGUAAACGAUGUCGAUUUGGGGGUUGAACUUUAGGUUUGGCGCCCGUAGCUAACGUGAUAAAUCGACCGCCUGGGGAGUACGGCCGCAAGGUUAAAACUCAAAUGAAUUGACGGGGGCCCGCACAAGCGGUGGAGCAUGUGGUUUAAUUCGAUGCAACGCGAAGAACCUUACCUACUCUUGACAUCCAUGGAAUCCUGUAGAGAUACGGGAGUG